AUAGUACUCCCUCGGUUCCAAAUUACUUGUCGCAAGUAUGGAUGUAUCUAGAUGUAUUUUAGUUCUAGAUACAUCCAUUUCUGCGACAAGUAAUUUGGGACGGAGGGAGUAGAAG
rnacentral:pre_miRNA from 1 species